CCUACGGGUGGCAGCAGUGAGGAAUAUUGGUCAAUGGGCGUAAGCCUGAACCAGCCAAGUCGCGUGAGGGAUGAAGGUUCUAUGGAUCGUAAACCUCUUUUGUCAGGGAAUAAAGUGUGGGACGCGUCCUGUUUUGUAUGUACCUUAUGAAUAAGGAUCGGCUAACUCCGUGCCAGCAGCCGCGGUAAUACGGCGGAUCCGAGCGUUAUCCGGAUUUAUUGGGUUUAAAGGGUGCGUAGGCGGCCUUUUAAGUCAGCGGUGAAAGUCGGUGGCUCAACCCUAGACUUGCCGUUGAAACUGGGAGGCUUGAGUAUGUGUGAGGCAGGCGGAAUGCGUGGUGUAGCGGUGAAAUGCAUAGAUAUCGCGCAGAACCCCGAUUGCGAAGGCAGCCUGCCAGGCCAAGACUGACGCUGAGGCACGAAAGCGUGGGGAUCGAACAGGAUUAGAUACCCCAGUAGUC
rnacentral:rRNA from 1 species